CGACCCUUCUUAAGCCGAGGGUCACCUAGCCAACUGACGUUGUUAGUGGACACAGAUUGUUCACACGUAUAAACGGCCAAACACCUUGCUUGUGUUUGGCCUCUUUUUU
rnacentral:sRNA from 1 species